GGACGAACGCUGGCGGCGUGCUUAACACAUGCAAGUCGAACGGUGAAGGGGUCUGCUUUUGUGGGCCCUGGAUGAGUGGCGAACGGGUGAGUAACACGUGAGUAACCUGCCCCCUUCUUCUGGAUAACCGCAUGAAAGUGUGGCUAAUACGGGAUAUUCUGGGUCUGUCGCAUGAUGGGUCUGGGAAAGAUUGCGCCUUUGGGUGUUUUUGGUGGGGGAUGGGCUCGCGGCCUAUCAGCUUGUUGGUGGGGUGAUGGCCUACCAAGGCGGUGACGGGUAGCCGGCCUGAGAGGGUGGACGGUCACACUGGGACUGAGACACGGCCCAGACUCCUACGGGAGGCAGCAGUGGGGAAUAUUGCACAAUGGGCGCAAGCCUGAUGCAGCGACGCCGCGUGAGGGAUGGAGGCCUUCGGGGUGUAAACCUCUUUCGCCAGUGAAGCAGGCCUGCUCCUUGUGGGUGGGUUGACGGUAGCUGGAUAAGAAGCGCCGGCUAACUACGCG
rnacentral:rRNA from 1 species